rnacentral:rRNA from 1 species
UACAGAGGGGGCAAGCGUUGUUCGGAAUUACUGGGCGUAAAGGGCGCGUAGGCGGCCUGCUAAGUCGAACGUGAAAUCCCCGGGCUUAACCUGGGAAUGGCGCUUGAAACUACGGGGCUCGAGUAUGGCAGAGGGAGGUGGAAUUCCACGUGUAGCGGUGAAAUGCGUAGAGAUGUGGAGGAACACCGAUGGCGAAGGCAGCCUCCUGGGCCAAUACUGACGCUCAUGCACGAAAGCGUGGGGAGCAAACAGG